rnacentral:tRNA from 1 species
UUAAUUGAAGCCAAAAAAGAGGCAUUUUAAUGUUAAUAAAAAUAUUGAAUUUUAUUCCAAUUAAA